AUCCAGGGAGGGCAGCAUUGAUUUCAAAAUAAAUAACUCUCCGCCCUCUCUUAUUUUCACCCGAAACAAAUGGGUGAGAGGGGCAGUGUUUGCGUUACUGGAGCUGCAGGCUUCAUCGGAUCAUGGCUUAUCAUGAGGCUCCUGGAGCAAGGCUACGCUGUGAAUGCGACGGUUCGCGAUCCCAAGAACACGAAAAAGGUGAAGCAUUUGUUGGAUCUUCCAAACGCUGGCACCAGGCUGACCCUAUGGAAAGCUGACCUCAUGGAUGAAGGGAGCUUUGACGAGCCCAUCCAAGGAUGUGUUGGCGUCUUCCAUGUUGCCACGCCCAUGGACUUUGAAUCCUCAGACCCUGAGAAUGAAGUUAUCAAGCCAACAAUUGAUGGUAUGUUAAACAUCUUAAAAUCGUGCGCCAAGGCAAAGACUGUUAGGAGAGUGGUCUUCACAUCUUCAGCAGGAACUGUCGCCGUUCAUGAACAUCGGAAGCCAGCGUAUGACGAGGAUUCAUGGAGCGAUGUGGACUUUUGCAGGGCCACGAAAAUGACUGGCUGGAUGUACUUCGUUUCAAAAACUUUGGCGGAGAAAGCUGCAUGGGAAUUCUGUCACAAGAACAGUUUGGAUUUCAUCAGCAUCAUACCAACAUUGGUCAAUGGGCCAUUCAUCAUGCCCACCAUGCCCCCCAGCAUGCUGACAGCACUAGCCCUGAUAACAAGUAUGAACCAGCCGGGGAGGUGCAAUGAGCUACAUAUCACCCACCGUCUAUGCCACACUGACCAGUGGAACGAAUGUCCCAUCCUAUUCAACCACUCAUCUUUGCAGUGCCUUGAAUUCAUUCUGGUAUCAUUUAUAAUUAAUAUAAAAUUUUAUUUAAAAAAAUUAAAAUAUAUUAUUUAAAUUUUUUGAUCCUAUAUAAUUUAAAAUUUAAUUAGAUAUAAUUAAUAUAAAACUAAAUAUAUAUCAAGAAUCCGCGUACCUCUACAUGCUUGUAGGUAAAGAUGCUAACGUGUCAAAUUGUGGUCAUAUGAAUAUAUUACCCUAUCAAGACUAGGAAGGACGAGUCUCAACAGAAUAGCCCUGAAAUUUUAAACCAUAGUAGUACGAGGAAGAGCACCAAAUUAUUCGAAACAUCAAGAACUCACCAAAAAGAGUAAAAAGACAAGAAAAAGGAAGGAACACCAGCAAAUCUAACCCAGAUAUGAUCGCUUCCAAUUGUGCUCCUGGCUGCCCCAGUCCGCGAAACACGCAUGCCAGCUUUAGCUCCAACGGUCAAAUUUGACAUAAGUCCAACAUACCGUCCUAGAGGGAGGAUACAGAGUGCAUCCGGAUCUGAUCAGAGAGGAUCUACCUUGCAGUCUCGUUGUCUGCAGUUGACAUCACUGUCAUGAUUAGGGAAUACACCACAUUAUUCAAUUUUGAAUCCGGUCCAGUUUGUCCACUUGGAUGAUCUUUGCAGAGCUCAUAUCUUCUUAUUUGAGCACCCUGAAGCAAAGGGAAGGUACAUUUGCUCUUCUCAUGACAUAACCAUCUCC